CAUGCCUAACACAUGCAAGUCGAACGGGAUCCGGCUCUUCGGGGCUGGUGAGAGUGGCGGACGGGUGAGUAACGCGUGGGAACCUGCCCAUGGGUCUGGGAUAACUGCGGGAAACUGCGGCUAAUACCGAUGUCUCCUCGCGAGGGGAGAAAGAUUUAUCGCCGAUGGAGGGGCCCGCGUCGGAUUAGGUAGUUGGUGGGGUAACGGCCUACCAAGCCAUCGAUCCGUAGCUGGUCUGAGAGGAUGAUCAGCCACACUGGGACUGAGAUACGGCCCAGACUCCUACGGGAGGCAGCAGUGGGGAAUAUUGGACAAUGGGGGCAACCCUGAUCCAGCAAUGCCGCGUGAGUGAUGAAGGCCUUCGGGUUGUAAAGCUCUUUUGCCAGGGACGAUGAUGACGGUACCUGGAGAAUAAGCCCCGGCUAACUUCGUGCCAGCCGCCGCCGUAAGAC
rnacentral:rRNA from 1 species